rnacentral:tRNA from 1 species
GGAAAGUUGGCCGAGUUGGUCGAUGGCGCGCCCCUGCUAAGGGCGUAUAUCCGCAAGGGUAUCGGUGGGUUCGAAUCCCCCACUUUCCGCCA